rnacentral:rRNA from 1 species
GGAGGGUGCAAGCGUUAAUCGGAAUUACUGGGCGUAAAGCGCACGCAGGCGGUUGGAUAAGUUAGAUGUGAAAGCCCCGGGCUCAACCUGGGAAUUGCAUUUAAAACUGUCCAGCUAGAGUCUUGUAGAGGGGGGUAGAAUUCCAGGUGUAGCGGUGAGAUGCGUAGAGAUCUGGAGGAAUACCGGUGGCGAAGGCGGCCCCCUGGACAAAGACUGACGCUCAGGUGCGAAAGCGUGGGGAGCAAACAGGAUUAGAUACCCUGGUAGUCCACGCCGUAAACGAUGUCGAUUUGGAGGCUGUGUCCUUGAGACGUGGCUUCCGGAGCUAACGCGUUAAAUCGACCGCCUGGGGAGUACGGCCGCAAGGUUA